rnacentral:rRNA from 1 species
GAUGAACGCUGGCGGCGUGCUUAACACAUGCAAGUCGAGCGAAGCACUUAAGUCUGAUUCUUCGGAUGAAGACUUUUGUGACUGAGCGGCGGACGGGUGAGUAACGCGUGGGUAACCUGCCUCAUACAGGGGGAUAACAGUUAGAAAUGACUGCUAAUACCGCAUAAGACCACGGUACCGCAUGGUACAGUGGUAAAAACUCCGGUGGUAUGAGAUGGACCCGCGUCUGAUUAGGUAGUUGGUGGGGUAACGGCCUACCAAGCCGACGAUCAGUAGCCGACCUGAGAGGGUGACCGGCCACAUUGGGACUGAGACACGGCCCAGACUCCUACGGGAGGCAGCAGUGGGGAAUAUUGCACAAUGGAGGAAACUUUGAUGCAGCGACGCCGCGUGAAGGAUGAAGUAUUUCGGUAUGUAAACUUCUAUCAGCAGGGAAGAAAAUGACGGUACCUGACUAAGAAGCCCCGGCUAACUACGUGCCAGCAGCCGCCGUAA